AGAACGAACGCUGGCGGCAUGCCUAAUACAUGCAAGUCGAACGAAGGCUUCGGCCUUAGUGGCGCACGGGUGCGUAACGCGUGGGAAUCUGCCCCUUGGUUCGGAAUAACAGUUGGAAACGACUGCUAAUACCGGAUGAUGACGAAAGUCCAAAGAUUUAUCGCCAAGGGAUGAGCCCGCGUAGGAUUAGCUAGUUGGUGAGGUAAAGGCUCACCAAGGCGACGAUCCUUAGCUGGUCUGAGAGGAUGAUCAGCCACACUGGGACUGAGACACGGCCCAGACUCCUACGGGAGGCAGCAGUAGGGAAUAUUGGACAAUGGGCGAAAGCCUGAUCCAGCAAUGCCGCGUGAGUGAUGAAGGCCUUAGGUGUAAAGCUCUUUUACCCGAGAUGAUAAUGACAGUAUCGGGAGAAUAAGCCCCGGCUAACUCCGUGCCAGCAGCCGC
rnacentral:rRNA from 1 species